AUUGAACGCUGGCGGCAGGCCUAACACAUGCAAGUCGAGCGAGCGGCGGACGGGUGAGUAAUGUAUGGGGACUGCCCGUUAUAGGGGGAUAACUAUUGGAAACGGUAGCUAAUACCGCAUACUACCGGAUUACUCACAUGGGAUUAGCUAGUAGGGGGGGUAAUGGAUCACCUAGGCGACGAUCCCUAGCUGUUCUGAGAGGAUGAUCAGCCACACUGGAACUGAGACACGGCCCAGACUCCUACGGAGGCAGAAGUGGGGAAUAUUGCACAAUGGGCGAAAGCCUGAUGCAGCCAUGCCGCGUGUAUGAAGAAGGCCCUAGGGUUGUAAAGUACUUUCAGUCGGGAGGCGUUACCGACAGAAGAAGCACCGGCUAACUCCGUGCCAGCAGCCGCGGUAAUAC
rnacentral:rRNA from 1 species